AUAGCCCUGGGAAACCAGGAUUAAUACCCCGAUGUGGUCACAACAGGACAUCCUGAUGUGAGUAAAGGCGUAAGCCGCUCGAUGACGGGCUCGCGGCCUAUUAGCUUGUUGGUGGGGUAAUGGCCUACCAAGGCGAUGAUGGGUGGCUGGUCUGAGAGGACGAUCAGCCACACUGGGACUGAGACACGGCCCAGACUCCUACGGGAGGCAGCAGUUAGGAAUUUUCCGCAAUGGGCGAAAGCCUGACGGAGCAACGCCGCGUGAGUGAUGAAGACCUUCGGGUUGUAAAGCUCUGUCGGAGGGGAAGAACACAAUGACGGUACCCUCCAAGAAAGCCCCGGCUAACUACGUGCCAGCAGCCGCGGUAAUACGUAGGGGGCGAGCGUUAUCCGGAUUUACUGGGCGUAAAGCGCGUUAAGGCGGCCGACAAAGUUGGUGGUGAAAUUUCAGGGCUCAACUCUGAAACUGCCUCCAAUACUGGUCGGCUUGAGUGCGAGAGAGGAAGGUGGAAUUCCCGGUGUAGUAGUGAAAUGCGUAGAUAUCGGGAGGAACACCAGUGGCGAAGGCGGCCUUCUGGCUCGCAACUGACGCUGUAGCGCGAAAGCGUGGGGAGCGAACGGGAUUAGAUACCCCGGUAGUCCACGCCCUAAACGAUGUGCACUAGGUGUUGGGCGUAUUGACGCGCUCAGUGCCGCAGCUAACGCAUUAAGUGCACCGCCUGGGGAGUACGGUCGCAAGAUUAAAACUCAAAGGAAUUGACGG
rnacentral:rRNA from 1 species